AUCCUGAAGGACACGCAGGUGACUCGACAGGCCUUAAAUGAGAUCUCGGCCCGGCACAGUGAGAUCCAGCAGCUUGAACGCAGUAUUCGUGAGCUGCACGACAUAUUCACUUUUCUGGCUACCGAAGUGGAGAUGCAGGGGGAGAUGAUCAAUCGGAUUGAGAAGAACAUCCUGAGCUCAGCGGACUACGUGGAACGUGGGCAGGAGCACGUCAAGACGGCCCUGGAGAACCAGAAGAAGGCGAGGAAGGUGAGCCUCCCAGGCCCGGCCACUGCCCCAGGCACCCUGUGUGACUUCCCUGACCCCCUCCUCUCCCACAGAAGAAAGUCUUGAUUGCCAUCUGUGUGUCCAUCACCGUCGUCCUCCUAGCAGUCAUCAUUGGCGUCACGGUGGUUGGAUAAUGUCGCACAUUGUUGGUGAGAUGUUGUGGGCUGCCCCCUGGCCUGCCCCAGCCCUGGCCCCAGCCAUCCCUCCUCCCUCAGACCCUGUUCUCCCUCCUUUCCUUACAGGCACUAGGAGCACCAGGGACCCAGGGCCUGGCCUUCUCUCCCAGCAGCCUGGGGGGCAGGGCAGAGCCUCCAGUCGGACCCCUUCCUCACACUGGCCCCUA
rnacentral:sRNA from 1 species